UUUUUGUUGGAGGUUUGGUGGUUGUCUGAAGGCCAAAAUGGGUGUUUCAGGGAAAAUGUUUUUCAGAGUCUCAUCUUCUGUUAAUAUUGGUUGUAGGUCUUUGAUGAUUUUCCGUAUUUCCUCAAGAGCUGGGUUGUAGGUGACCACAAGUGGCACUCAUGUGGAUAUUUUUUUCUCUCUGUACUGUAGCAGGCGCGUGCGUGGCGUUUUUACAGCAGAGUUGAUUUCUUUG